rnacentral:rRNA from 1 species
AUGAACGCUGACAGAAUGCUUAACACAUGCAAGUCUUUGGCGAAGCUGUGCUUGCACAGCCUAGCCAAGGCGGACGGGUGAGUAACGCGUAAGGAACUUGCCCUGCAGUCAGGGAUAACAGACGGAAACGACUGAUAAGACCUGGUAAAGUCAGGCGGACUCACGUCCAGCCUGAUGAAAAGAGAUGCUGCAGGAGAGCCUUGCGUCCUAUUAGCUUGUUGGUGGGGUAACGGCCCACCAAGGCGAUGAUAGGUAGCCGGCCUGAGAGGGUGGACGGCCACAAGGGGACUGAGAUACGGCCCUUACUCCUACGGGAGGCAGCAGUGGGGAAUAUUGGACAAUGGGGGCAACCCUGAUCCAGCAAUUCUGUGUGCACGAUGAAGGUUUUCGGAUUGUAAAGUGCUUUCAGCAGGGAAGAAAAAAUGACGGUACCUGCAGAAGAAGCGACGGCUAAAUACGUG